GCAAACUUGGUCAUUUAGAGGAAGUAAAAGUCGUAACAAGGUUUCCGUAGGUGAACCUGCGGAAGGAUCAUUAACUAUGCCGUCCGGCCUUACCCGCCGGAAGGUGGUUUCAACCGCUCCUCCACGCUGUGUCCGCUGCCGUAAGGCCGCGGCCAGACGUGGAUCGGGUACCAACCCUUUUGUGAACCUUCUACCUUCUGCUUCGGCAGCGCGGUCGACCCACCCGUCGGCCGGUAAGGCUGCCGAUAGCCAUUUACAUUAAAAUCCAUUACAUGUUGUCUCAACAGUGAAGUCUGACCAUUUAUGAAUAUUUUUCAAGCAAAAGUUAAAACUUUCAGCAACGGAUCUCUUGGUUCCCGCAUCGAUGAAGAACGCAGC
rnacentral:misc_RNA from 1 species